GGGUCAGUAGGUUGGUCGUGCCACCGGUACGUACUGGUCUCACUGAUUCCUCCUUCCUGAAGAACCGUAAUGCCAUUAAUUUGGUGUUGCGGGGAAACAGGACUGUUACUUUGAAAAAAAUUAGAGUGUUUAAAGCAAGCUAACGCUUGAAUACCUUAGCAUGGAAUAAUGAAAUAGGACGAUCGAUCCUAUUUUGUUGGUUUCUAGGAUUGACGUA
rnacentral:rRNA from 1 species